UACAGAGGGGGCAAGCGUUGUUCGGAAUUACUGGGCGUAAAGGGCGCGUAGGCGGCCUUCUAAGUCAGACGUGAAAUCCCCGGGCUCAACCCGGGAACUGCGUCUGAUACUGGAAGGCUUGAAUCCGGGAGAGGGAUGUGGAAUUCCAGGUGUAGCGGUGAAAUGCGUAGAUAUCUGGAGGAACACCGGUGGCGAAGGCGGCAUCCUGGACCGGUAUUGACGCUGAGGAGCGAAAGCCAGGGGAGCAAACGGG
rnacentral:rRNA from 1 species